UUCGGUUCGGCGCCGCGCAUCGACGCUGCUGCUGCCGUAGGGCGGCGUGCAGGCCAACCUGCGGACGACCGAGGCGGUGGCCAUUCCCAGGAGUGCAUCCAUCGACAGCAAAGCGUCUGCUGCGAGUUCUGCCGGGUCGUCUGCACCCAUCGCUUCUCUCUCUCCACCCUCAGUUCAGUUUCCACGAUCGGCACGCCACCCACGAUUGAAUCG